AUUGAACGCUGGCGGCAGGCCUAACACAUGCAAGUCGAGCGGAUGAAGGGAGCUUGCUCCUGGAUUCAGCGGCGGACGGGUGAGUAAUGCCUAGGAAUCUGCCUGGUAGUGGGGGAUAACGUCCGGAAACGGGCGCUAAUACCGCAUACGUCCUGAGGGAGAAAGUGGGGGAUCUUCGGACCUCACGCUAUCAGAUGAGCCUAGGUCGGCUUAGCUAGUUGGUGGGGUAAAGGCCUACCAAGGCGACGAUCCGUAACUGGUCUGAGAGGAUGAUCAGUCACACUGGAACUGAGACACGGUCCAGACUCCUACGGGAGGCAGCAGUGGGGAAUAUUGGACAAUGGGCGAAAGCCUGAUCCAGCCAUGCCGCGUGUGUGAAGAAGGUCUUCGGAUUGUAAAGCACUUUAAGUUGGGAGGAAGGGCAGUAAGUUAAUACCUUGCUGUUUUGACGUUACCAACAGAAUAAGCACCGGCUAACUUCGUG
rnacentral:rRNA from 1 species